rnacentral:rRNA from 1 species
NNAUCUGAAAUCAAGCAGGAGCACCCGCUGAACUUAAGCAUAUCACUAAGCGGAGGAGAAGAAAUUAACUAAGAUUGCCUCAGUAGCGGCGAGCGAAGCGGCAAAAGCCCAAAAUGUAAAUCUUGUGCACAUCGUGUACACGAAUUGUAAUCUAAAGAGAGUUCACUCAACGGGCGGUGGCGCAGAAGUGACCUCGAACGGUCCGCCAGAGAGGGUGACAGCCCCGUAUGUGGUGUCACCGCUUAACGAGUGGGUUCUUAACGAGUCGGGUUGUUUUGUAUUGCAGCCCUAAGUGGGAGAUCAACUUCUUCUAAGGCUAAAUAUAUAUGGGAAACCGAUAGCGAACAAGUACUGUGAAGGAAAGA